AGGAUGAACGCUGGCGGCGUGCCUAACACAUGCAAGUCGAACGUCCUGUCUCGCAAGAGGCAGGGAGUGGCGGACGGGUGAGUACCACGUGGGUUAUCUACCGUGAGGUGAGGAAUACCGGCGAGAAAUCGCCGACAAGACCGCAUAGCCUCGGUGCAAGUCGAGGAAAGCUCUCUCGAGAGAGGGAGCGCCACACGAGGAGCCUGCGCCCGAUUAGCUAGCUGGUGGAGUAACGGUUCACCAGGGCGACGAUCGGUAGCUGGUCUGAGAGGACGAUCAGCCACACUGGGAUUGAGAACGGCCCAGACUCCUACGGGGGGCAGCAGUGAGGAAUUUUCGUCAAUGGGGGCAACCCUGAACGAGCAACGCCGCGUGCAGGAAGAAGGUUUUCGGAUCGUAAACUGCUUUUCUCGGGGAAGAGAAUGGACGGUACCCGAGGAAUCGAGCCCCGGCUAACUACGUGCCAGCAGCCGCGGU
rnacentral:rRNA from 1 species